AGCGAACGCUGGCGGCAGGCUUAACACAUGCAAGUCGAGCGGGCACUUUCGGGUGUCAGCGGCGGACGGGUGAGUAACGCGUGGGAACGUGCCCUCUGGUUCGGAAUAACUCAGGGAAACUUGAGCUAAUACCGGAUACGCCCUUUUGGGGAAAGGCUUGCUGCCGGAGGAUCGGCCCGCGUCUGAUUAGCUAGUUGGUGAGGUAACGGCUCACCAAGGCGACGAUCAGUAGCCGGUCUGAGAGGAUGAUCAGCCACACUGGGACUGAGACACGGCCCAGACUCCUACGGGAGGCAGCAGUGGGGAAUAUUGGGCAAUGGGCGCAAGCCUGAUCCAGCCAUGCCGCGUGAGUGAUGAAGGCCUUAGGGUUGUAAAGCUCUUUUAUCCGGGACGAUAAUGACGGUACCGGAGGAAUAAGCCCCGGCUAACUUCGUG
rnacentral:rRNA from 1 species